rnacentral:rRNA from 1 species
AUUGAACGCUGGCGGCAGGCCUACCACAUGCAAGUCGAACGAGUGGCGGACGGGUUAGUAAUGUCUGGGAACCUGCCCGAUGGAGGGUGAUAACUACUGGAAACGGUAGCUAAUACCACAUACCAUCGGAUGUGCCCAGAUGGGAUUAGCUAGUAGGGGGGGUAACGGCUCACAUAGGCGACGAUCCCUAGCUGGUCUGAGAGGAUGACCAGCCACACUGGACCUGAGACACGGUCCAGACUCGUACGGUAGCGAGAGGUGGGGAAUAUUGCACAAUGGGCGCAAGCCUGAGGCAGCCAUGCCGCGUGGAUGAAGAAGUCCUUCGGGUUGUAAAGUACUUUCAGCGAGGAGGCGUUACUCGCAGAAGAAGCACCGGCUAACUCCGUGCCAGCAGCCGCGGUAAUUC